rnacentral:lncRNA from 1 species
AUGAUCUUGGGACAAUCAGGCAGGAGAGGCAUCCCAGAGCCACCAAGGUUUGAAAAUCAAUAAACAAUGUGCAAGAUCCCAGGCUCUUCCAUCCACUCCAGGACACUUUGAAGGAAAACCAAGAGGAGGAGCCCUCGUAAAUAGCCAAACAGUUUGAAAUAUGAUUCUAAAACGCUUAGAACCCAAUACAGUA